GAGUUUGAUCCUGCUCAGGAUGAACGCUAGCGACAGGCCUAACACAUGCAAGUCGAGGGGCAGCACAAGGGUAGCAAUACUCUGGUGGCGACCGGCGCACGGGUGAGUAUCGCGUAUGCAACCUACCUUCCACACGGGGGAUAGCCUUCCGAAAGGGAGAUUAAUACCGCAUGAAACAGGGGCCCCGCAUGGGGAUAUUUGGUUAAAGAGUUUAUCGGUGGAAGAUGGGCAUGCGUUCCAUUAGCUAGUUCGGGGGGUAACGGCCCACCAAGGCAACGAUGGAUAGGGGAACUGAGAGGUUUAUCCCCCACACUGGGACUGAGACACGGCCCAGACUCCUACGGGAGGCAGCAGUGAGGAAUAUUGGUCAAUGGGCGGGAGCCUGAACCAGCCAAGUCGCGUGGAGGACGACGGUUCUAUGGAUUGUAAACUCCUUUUGCACUGGGGUAAAACGCGGGACGUGUCCCGCCUUGCAAGUACAGUGCGAAUAAGCAUCGGCUAACUCCGUG
rnacentral:rRNA from 1 species